UAAAAAUGUAAAGUUUUAAGUCUAAUUAUUAAUAGUUAUGUUCUUUAAAGUUAAAGAAUUUGGCGGUAUUUUAGUCUAUUUAGAGGAACCUGUUCUAUAAUCGAUAGUCCACGAUUUAUUAUACUUAUCUUAUUAGUUUAUAUAUCGUCGUAGUUUGAAUAUUUUAUAAGAAAUUUAAUGUUCAAGAUUCUUUAUUAGGAAAGAAAUCAGAUCAAGGUGUAGCUUAUAGGUGAGCAGAAAUGGGUUACAAUAAAUUUAUUUAUAUGGUAUGGAGAGUUGAAAAUUUUUCAUUAAAGUGGAUUUAAAAGUAAUAAAAUAAAAAUUUUUUUUAUGACUUUAGCUCUAAAAUAUGU
rnacentral:rRNA from 1 species